UAGCAUAAUCAUUAGUUUUUUAAUUGAGAACUGGGAUGAAAGGUUAUAUAAAAAAUAAUCUUUAUUAAUUUUAAAUUAUUUGAAUUUGUUUUUUUAGUAAAAAAACUAAAAUGUAUUAAAAAGACGAUAAGACCCUAUAAAGCUUUAUAAUAGAAAUUUUAAUAAUAAAUUAGAAUAUUAAAUAAAUUUUUUUUUUAUUAUUUAAUUGGGGUGAUUUAAAGAUUUAAAAAACUCUUUAAUAAAAAAGAAUUCAUAUUUAAAUGUUUUUUGAUCCUUUUAAUAUUUAAGAAUAAUAAAAUAAGUUACUUUAGGGAUAACAGCGUAAUUUUUUUGAAGAGUUCAAAUCGAUAAAAAAGAUUGCGACCUCGAUGUUGAAUUAAGAUAAAAAUUAGGGGUAGAAUUUUAAUUUUU
rnacentral:rRNA from 1 species